rnacentral:rRNA from 1 species
UACGUAGGGUGCGAGCGUUAAUCGGAAUUACUGGGCGUAAAGCGUGCGCAGGCGGUGAUGUAAGACAGGUGUGAAAUCCCCGGGCUUAACCUGGGAACUGCAUUUGUGACUGCAUCGCUGGAGUGCGGCAGAGGGGGAUGGAAUUCCGCGUGUAGCAGUGAAAUGCGUAGAUAUGCGGAGGAACACCAGUGGCGAAAGCGGCUUCCUGGUCCAGCACCGACGUUCAGGCACGAAAGCGUGGGGAGCAAACAGG